rnacentral:rRNA from 1 species
UCAAGCUAGUAAGAGCGUAGGGUGGAUGCCUUGGCACCAGGAGCCUAAGAAGGACGCGAUAAGCUGCGAAAAGCUUCGGUGAGGCGCAAAUAGCCAUUGACCCGGAGAUGUCCGAAUGGGGCAACCCGUCUGGCAGGAGGCCAGACAGCCUAUAGUGAAUAAAAUAGCUAUAGCGCAGGCAAACCAGGGGAACUGAAACAUCUAAGUACCCUGAGGAAAAGAAAGAAACUUCGAUUCCCCAAGUAGCGGCGAGCGAACCGGGAAGAGCCCAAACCAGUGAAGCUAGACUUUACUGGGGUUUAGGAUAGGACACGAGGGGAUUGAAUCCCUUAGCCGAAUAGUACUGGAAAGUACAACCAUAGAGAGUAAGAGUCUCGUAGGCGAAAAGGGAAAAGUCCUCGUCCUAGUCCAGAGUACCACGGGACACGGGAAACCCUGUGGGAAGACGGGGGGACCACCCCCCAAGGCUAAAUACUCCCUGGUGACCGAUAGAGGAAAGUACCGUGAGGGAAAGGUGAAAAGCACCCCGGGAGGGGAGUGAAAUAGAACCUGAAACCCUAUGCUUACAAGCAGUCAGAGCCUAUAGUAGGUGAUGGCGUGCUUUUUGUAGAACGAACCAGCGAGUUACGGUCUGUAGCGAGGUUAAGCACCUAAGGUGCGAAGCCGCAGGGAAACCGAGUCUUAAAAGGGCGAAUAAGUUGCAGGCUGUAGACCCGAAACCGGGUGACCUACCCAUGUCCAGGGUGAAGUUUUGGUAAAACAAAAUGGAGGCCCGAACCCAUGACUGUUGAAAAAGUCUGGGAUGAGGUGUGGGUAGCGGUGAAAUUCCAAUCGAACUCGGAGAUAGCUGGUUCUCCCCGAAAUAGCUUUAGGGCUAGCGUUAACUUAGAGAGAUGGAGGUAGAGCACUGACUAGGCUAGGGGGAUUCACAUCUUACCGAACCUUAUCAAACUCCGAAUGCCAUUCUCUUUAGAGGUUAGCAGUCAGACUACGGGAGAUAAGUUUCGUAGUCGAGAGGGAAACAACCCAGACCAUCAGCUAAGGUCCCCAAGUACAAGUUAAGUGGGAAAGGAUGUGGGAUUGCACAGACAACCAGGAUGUUGGCUUAGAAGCAGCCAUUCAUUUAAAGAGUGCGUAAUAGCUCACUGUUCGAGUGAUCCUGCGCCGAAGAUGUCCGGGGCUAAAACUUGUCACCGAAGCUAUGGCUUGCCAAUUCGUUGGCAGGGGUAGGGGAGCAUUCCAUGGGGGCAGAAGUCCGAUCGUGAGAGAGGGUGGACCCCAUGGAAGAGAGAAUGCUGGUAUGAGUAGCGCAAGUUAGGUGAGAAUCCUAACCAUCGAAAGCCUAAGGUUUCCUGAGGAAGGUUCGUCCGCUCAGGGUAAGUCGGGGCCUAAGCCGAGGGCGAAAGCCGUAGGCGAUGGACAAUCGGUUGAGAUUCCGAUACCACCUUCAAGCGAUUGAGAGAAGGAGUGACACAGGAGGAUAGGUUAACCAGGGUGUUGGUGAUCCCUGGCCAAGCAGCAAGGGAGGCAACCCAGGCAAAUCCGGGAUGCUAUAUCUUAAGCUGUGACGGGGAGCGAAAUUUAAAGUAGCGAAGUAACCGAAUUCACACUGUCGAGAAAAGCUUCUAUCGAGCGAGGAGGUGCCCGUACCGCAAACCGACACAGGUAGGCGAGGAGAGAAUCCUAAGAUGAACGGGAGAAGUGUUGUUAAGGAACUAGGCAAAAUGACCCCGUAACCUCGGGAGAAGGGGUGCCAGGUAACCCUGGCCGCAGAGAAAUGGCCCAAACGACUGUUUAUCAAAAACACAGGUCUCUGCUAAAUCGAAAGAUGAAGUAUAGGGGCUGACGCCUGCCCGGUGCUGGAAGGUUAAGGGGAAGUGUUAGCGUAAGCGAAGCACAGAACUUAAGCCCCAGUAAACGGCGGCCGUAACUAUAACGGUCCUAAGGUAGCGAAAUUCCUUGUCAGGUAAGUUCUGACCCGCACGAAAGGCGUAACGAUUUGGGCACUGUCUCAACAACACCCCCGGCGAAAUUGUAGAACUCGUGAAGAUGCGAGUUACCCGCGACAGGACGGAAAGACCCCGUAGAGCUUUACUGCAGCCUGAUAUUGGAUUUUGGUAUUACAUGUACAGGAUAGGUGGGAGACUAAGAAUCUAGGACGCCAGUUUUGGAGGAGUCGCCCUUGGGAUACCACUCUUGUAAUACUGAAGUUCUAACCAGUGGCCAUAACCUGGUCAUGGGACAUUGUCAGGUGGGCAGUUUGACUGGGGCGGUCGCCUCCGAAAGAGUAACGGAGGCGCUCAAAGGUUACCUCAGAAUGGUUGGAAAUCAUUUAAAGAGUGCAAAGGCAAAAGGUAGCCUAACUGCGAGAGAGACAUCUCGAGCAGAGACGAAAGUCGGACUUAGUGAUCCGGUGGUACCGAGUGGAAGGGCCAUCGCUCAACGGAUAAAAGCUACCUCGGGGAUAACAGGCUUAUCUCCCCCAAGAGUCCACAUCGACGGGGAGGUUUGGCACCUCGAUGUCGGCUCGUCACAUCCUGGGGCUGAAGUAGGUCCCAAGGGUUGGGCUGUUCGCCCAUUAAAGUGGCACGCGAGCUGGGUUCAGAACGUCGUGAGACAGUUCGGUCCCUAUCCGUCGUGGGCGCAGGAAAUUUGAGAGGAUCUGUCCUUAGUACGAGAGGACCGGGAUGGACAUACCUCUGGUGCACCAGUUGUCGAGCCAUCGGCAUAGCUGGGUAGCUAUGUAUGGCAGGGAUAAGCGCUGAAGGCAUCUAAGCGCGAAGCCCCCCUCAAGAUAAGAUUUCCCACCCGACACUCAACUAUGUUUAUUAGGAGGAUGCAUAUGUAUUAUGUAUAUAUCAUA